AGAGUUUGAUCCUGGCUCAGGAUGAACGCUAGCGACAGGCUUAACACAUGCAAGUCGAGGGGCAGCGGGGGCGUAGCAAUAUGCCUGCCGGCGACCGGCGCACGGGUGAGUAACACGUAUGUAACCUGCCCUAUGCAGGGGGAUAACCCGGAGAAAUCCGGCCUAAUACCGCGUAACACCUUAGGGGAGCAUUCUCUUGAGGUUAAAGGAGAGAUCCGGCAUAGGAUGGACAUGCGUCGCAUUAGGUAGACGGCGGGGUAACGGCCCACCGUGCCGACGAUGCGUAGGGGUUCUGAGAGGAAGGCCCCCCACACUGGUACUGAGACACGGACCAGACUCCUACGGGAGGCAGCAGUGAGGAAUAUUGGUCAAUGGCCGAGAGGCUGAACCAGCCAAGUCGCGUGAGGGAAGAAUGUCCUAAGGAUUGUAAACCUCUUUUGUCGGGGAGCAAAAAGGCUCUGCGGAGUCGUAUUGAGAGUACCCGAAGAAAAAGCAUCGGCUAACUCCGUGCCAGCAGCCGCGGUAAUACGGAGGAUGCGAGCGUUAUCCGGAUUUAUUGGGUUUAAAGGGUGCGCAGGCGGCGUGUCAAGCAAGCGGUAAAAUAGCGGGGCUCAACCCCGUCGAGCCGUUUGAACUGGCGCGCUUGAGUUCAGGCGAGGUAGGCGGAAUUCGUGGUGUAGCGGUGAAAUGCAUAGAUAUCACGAAGAACUCCGAUUGCGAAGGCAGCUUACCAGUCUGCGACUGACGCUCAGGCACGAAAGUGUGGGUAUCGAACAGGAUUAGAUACCCUGGUAGUCCACACAGUAAACGAUGAGCG
rnacentral:rRNA from 1 species